GAUGAACGUUGGCGGUGUGCCUAAUACAUGCAAGUCGAACGAAGUUGAUAGCGAUAUUAGCUUAGUGGCGAACGGGUGAGUAACGCGUUGGUGAUCUGCCUUGAAGUGUGGAAUAACGUUUCGAAAGGAACGCUAAUACCGCAUGUGCUCUCGAUUUUCAGAAAGUUGAGAGUAAAGGAUUUAUUCGCUUCAAGAGGAGCCUGCGUCCCAUCAGCUGGUUGGUAGGGUAACGGCCUACCAAGGCUAUGACGGGUAGGGGACCUGAGAGGGUCGGCCCCCCACAAUGGAACUGAAACACGGUCCAUACACCUACGGGUGGCAGCAGUAGGGAAUAUUAGAAAUGGACGAAAGUCUGAUCUAGCAACACCGCGUGUGCGAAGAAGGCCUUCGGGUCGUAAAGCACUUUUUGGAAGGAAUAGGAAGGAAUGUACUUCCAGAAUAAGUCUCGGCUAACUACGUG
rnacentral:rRNA from 1 species